rnacentral:rRNA from 1 species
UACGUAGGGUGCAAGCGUUAAUCGGAAUUACUGGGCGUAAAGCGUGCGCAGGCGGUUUUGUAAGUCUGACGUGAAAUCCCCGGGCUCAACCUGGGAAUUGCGUUGGAGACUGCAAGGCUUGAAUCUGGCAGAGGGGGGUAGAAUUCCACGUGUAGCAGUGAAAUGCGUAGAGAUGUGGAGGAACACCGAUGGCGAAGGCAGCCCCCUGGGUCAAGAUUGACGCUCAUGCACGAAA